UACGUAGGGCGCAAGCGUUGUCCGUAAUUAUUGGGCGUAAAGAGCUCGUAGGCGGCCUGUUACGUCUGCUGUGAAAUCCCGGGGCUUAACCCCGGGCGUGCAGUGGAUACGGGCAGGCUGGAGGCAGGCAGGGGAGAACGGAAUUCCCGGUGUAGCGGUGAAAUGCGCAGAUAUCGGGAGGAACACCGGUGGCGAAGGCGGUUCUCUGGGCCUGUACUGACGCUGAGGAGCGAAAGCGUGGGGAGCGAACAGG
rnacentral:rRNA from 1 species